CCCUUAGAUGUUCUGGGCCGCACGCGUGCUACACUGAGUAAAUCAAUGGGUAAGGGAACACGAAAGUGCAACCUAAUCUUGAAAUUUGCUCGUGAUGGGGAUCGACGGUUGCAAUUUUCCGUCGUGAAUGAGGAAUACCUUGUAGGCGCGUGUCAUCAUCACGCGCCGAAUACGUCCCUGCCCUUUGUACACACCGCCCGUCGCUCCUACCGAUUGAGUGAUCCGGUGAGGCUCUGGGACCUGGACGGAAAGAGCGUUUCGCUUGUUCUGUUUGGGAAACUUGGUCGAACCUUAUCAUUUAGAGGAAGGAGAAGUCGUAACA
rnacentral:rRNA from 1 species